GGCUGUCGUCCGGCCCCGCUCGUCACUGGUCCCCGGCGGCCGGAGGGCGCGGCCGCACCUCCUCUCUAGGCCCGCGGGCCCCUUCGCACCACAGACCCCGCCCCGCACCCACGCGAUCCCGCGUCCCCGGUCCGGUCCCCGCGCCAGGGGCUCCCGCGCCCACCAGUCCCCGACAGGCCCCGCCCCCGUGCGAUCCCUCCCGGAAGCGCCGGCGGAGCGUCCUCGCAUCGAGCGCCCUCGCAUGGAGCGCGAGCCCAGCGCCUCAGAGGCCGCCCCCGUGGCGGCCGCGCUCUUCGCCUGGGGUGCAAAUAGUUAUGGGCAGCUUGGCCUUGGCCAUAAGGAAGAUGUGCUAUUGCCCCAGCAACUGAAUGACUUCUGUAAAUCCAGGUGUAUCAGGAGGAUCACAGGAGGAGGGGGCCAUUCUGCAAUUGUCACAGAUGGAGGGGACCUCUUUGUUUGUGGCCUGAAUAAAGAUGGGCAACUGGGGCUUGGUCACACAGAGGAUGUCCCAUAUUUUACCCCCUGCCAAUCCCUCUUUGGCUGUCCCAUUCAACAGGUGGCCUGUGGCUGGGAUUUUACCAUUAUACUCACUGAAAACGGUCAAAUUCUAUCAUGUGGAUCCAACUCCUUUGGCCAGUUAGGAGUUCCUCAUGGACCUCGAAGAUGUGUGGUUCCCCAGGCCAUUGAGCUUCAUAAAGAGAAGAUUGUUUGUAUUGCUGCUGGACUGAGGCAUGCGUUAGCUGCUACAGUGAGUGGCAUCGUGUUCCAGUGGGGAACUGGUUUGGCAUCAUGUGGACGACGGUUGUGCCCCGGGCAGACUCUUCCACUGUUUUUUACAGCAAAAGAACCAAGCAGAGUGACAGGUCUAGAGAAUUCUAAAGCAAUGUGUGUUAUUGCUGGCUCAGACCACUCAGCUUCAUUAACAGAUGCUGGAGAGGUGUAUGUUUGGGGAAGCAACAAGCAUCGGCAACUGGCUACUCAGGCUGCUUUCCUUCCUGUGCCUCAGAAAAUAGAAGCAAAUUGUUUCCAGAAUGAAAAGGUCACUGCCGUCUGGAGUGGGUGGACACACCUGGUUGCUCAGACAGAAACUGGGAAGGUGUUUACCUGGGGCCGAGCAGACUAUGGUCAACUAGGGAGGAAGUUGGAGACUUAUGAAGGCUGGAAACUGGAAAAGCAAGAUUCAUUUCUCCCCUGUUCAAGACCACUGAACAGCAUGCCUUCAUCUCUGCAUUGCUUAACUGGAGCUACCGAGCUACUGCCCCAGCUACCAACUAGAGGAGUCACUCCCGACAACUAUUUCAAGAGUCUUGCUCUGUCACCCAGGCUGUAGUGCAGUGGUAUGAUCUCAGCUCACUGCAACCUCCACCUCCCAGGUCAAAUGAUCUUCCCACCUCAGUCUCCCAACUAGCUUGGCCUACAGGUCUCUUGUGGCUCAGAACAUAAUUUGGCAGUAAUUGGAAAGCAAUGUGGUCAGAAGAAAGAGAGCUGGACUGGGAGCUGAGAGACCCAGAUGUUGCUCUUGGUAGCACCCCUAUUCAACUGUAUGAUCUGGACAAGACAUGGAACCUUUUUGGGCCUUGUUUCAUUUAUAAAAACAUUUGGGCCACUUUCGGAAAAUCCUUUGGUGUAUUAUCAAGAGCCUUGAAGAUAUCUAUUCACUUUUAUUUAUUUAUUCAUAUGCUGGAAUUCUCCUCUGAGGAAAGAUCUUAAAUAUGGGAAAAGCUUUAUGGUUAAAGAUGUUCAUCAUAGUAUUUUUCUAAUUUAGUAAAAUUAGGAUCUACCUAAUUUUACUAACAUUUGGAACUUGAUAAAAGAUGACCUAUCUGCUUGACUAAUAUGUAGUGUUUAUUAAGUAAGAAUUACAGCAUUGGUCAUGUAAAAAUGAAAACAAAAAGCCAUAUGUGAAAAAUAUACUGGGUAAUAUACUUCCCAGUGAGGAAGCAUUUUGAUGUUAUCCACACCCUUCCUGAUCCAGACCCAGAUGUUCAUACCAGCUGUCUUUGUGCCACCACUAUUUACUGUAUAUGGUGACCUCACUAUAGUGACCUUAGGACAUUUUUCUAACAGACACCUUUUACCCCCCUGUAUGCUUUUGUAUAUGGACAUGAUUUUGUAUGUCUGGUUCAUUCCUCCUGAAAUGCCCUUUCCUCCCUUGUCUAGCCAUGAAUGUUUACUCUUUUUCUAGUCCAGCUCUGCAGAUUUCCCUAACUCCUAGGUAGAAUCAGUUGGUCCUUCAUCCUUCUCUCUAUAAAAUUUGUAACUUGACUCUAA